rnacentral:rRNA from 1 species
CAGCCGCCGCGGUAAUACGAGGGGGGCAAGCGUUGUUCGGAAUUAUUGGGCGUAAAGGGUGCGUAGGCGGUUUGGCAAGUCUUAUGUGAAAUCUUCGGGCUCAACCCGAAGUCUGCAUGAGAAACUGCCGGGCUUGAGUACGGGAGAGGUGAGUGGAAUUUCCGGUGUAGCGGUGAAAUGCGUAGAUAUCGGAAGGAACACCUGUGGCGAAAGCGGCUCACUGGAUCAUAACUGACGCUGAGGCACGAAAGCUAGGGGAGCAAACAGGAUUAGAUACCCGCGUAGUCCCUGUCUCUUAUAC